rnacentral:sRNA from 1 species
CCUGCUGGGGGCAAAUAUAGUGAAUGUGACUAUCAAUCCCGCCCGGCGUGACGAUGCGCCCUUCCGCAGCGAUGAUCUCCGUUCCCGGCCCGAUGAUAAUGUCCACACCCGGUUGGGUAUCCGGGUUCCCCGCCUUACCGAUGGCCGCAAUACGGCCCGCACGAAUGCCAAUAUCCGCCUUGAUGAUUCCCCAAUGGUCAAAAAUCACCGCAUUGGUGAUGACCGUAUCCAUCGCUCCUUCAGCCCGACUGCGCUGGGACUGGCCCAUGCCAUCCCG